CUUGACUGUAUCCUGGAAUUGGGUUCGGGCUUUUCUUGCGCAGCCUAGGUGGGAGGCUAUGAAGAUUUCCUUCCGGGGAAGUUGGAGCCAUCAGUGAGAGACCACUCUGGAGAGGCUAGAAUCCUAAUGGUGAUCCUUGAAUCAGGACACUUGACAGUUUCAGGUGGGCAGUUUUUCUGGGGCGGAAGCCUCAUAAAGGGUAACUGAGGCGCGCAAAGGUCCCCUCAGUCUGGACGGAAAUCAGACAACGAGUGUAAAGGCAAAAGGGGGCUUGACUGCAAGACCUACAAGUCGAGCAGGAGCGAAAGCUGGCCUUAGUGACCCGACGGUGCCGCAUGGAAGGGCCGUCGCUCAACGGAUAAAAGUUA
rnacentral:rRNA from 1 species